GAAUAAGUAAGCUGCAAAGUUAACAUAAAACUCAAUCCAUGGCAAAAAAUGCAUAAUCACUAAGAACUUUUGUCACACAAUUUUCUUCAAAUCUUCGAAAAACGAUGCCAACUGCCAACACAAAAAUUCAAUUCUUUUUAACAUUCAGAAUGGGCAAAGCAAAAAAGCUGGGGCACCUGGAUUAGAGGAAAACAUAUCUUCCCUCUCAAACAAGACAAUAUAUCAACUGCUAGAUGAUUGCUGAAAUGGAAUAAUCACAAUUGGCUACCACUAGCACUCAAAGGAAGACGGUCUAAUAACAUUUACCAGUGCUAAUCAAUAACACCACAAAAACUACAAUUUCUUUGUUGGCACAUAAUGAACCAGCUCCAUCUCAACUUAAUAAAAUAUAAACAAUAUCAAGCCUAUAAUUUGUUAUUCCAUUUAAUAACUAGUUAAUAUGCUAUAAGAGUACCAUUGUUAGAUAUGAUACCAAAAAACCAUAAGCAUGGUGCCCACCCACACUCGUAGUUAAGGAAAGAAGAGCAGAGUGUGAGAAAUGAUUCUAGCUACAAGUUGGAGUACUCUCUUAUUGAGUUCUUGUUGUACCUAAAAGAAACAUACAUGAACACAAACCUUGGUUGGUGAGUUGGAGGCAAGCAAAAGGUAAUUCAGUUGCUUCCAUCAUUAUAACUUCAUAAACAAAAACCAAUUCACUGUCGUACUGCAGUAUAUC
rnacentral:misc_RNA from 1 species